rnacentral:rRNA from 1 species
AUGGAGGGCAUCAACCUCGCCCUGAAAUGGACGGAGAUGCCGAUAGAAGUAGAGACAGACUGCCUUGUCGCUCUUAACAUGAUUAAUGGGCCCGACAGGGACCGGUCUCGCUAUACCAUGUUGGUUGAUCAAAUUCAAAUGAUUUUGAGGGAACGGAGGAUGUUCAAGCUAUCUCAUGUUCGUAUGGAACAGCAUGGUGCAAGCCAUUAUCUAUCCUCCUUUGGACGGACAGAAGGUCGCACUGUGUUAGCAAUCUCACCCAAUUACGGAGGGGUGAGCAAGCAGCCGCCGGCCGAUGAUGCAAGUCAUUCCUGGGAUGGAUCCGCUCCGGCUCAGUACACCGCCGGCCACGUGCCCAGCCCAGGGGAGCCUCCACUCGCCGCCACCCGCCGAUCUGUCUCCGAUCGACCUAGGGUGCCGUAG